GAGAAAUGGGUAAUGGAUGCACCUGCUUUGGAAAUGAGGCCAAGAGGUCUCAAAUUGAGUUGAAGGGGAAAAGUUUCCUUUUCCCCUUAGCUUUCUAAAUUGAAAAAGGCAUCAAGAAGUUGAAGGAAUUUUAAAUGAGCCACUUUCUCAAAGUUCAAUGGAGGCCAUACACCCUCACGUACUUGAAUGGCCAACUUUCAUAGUGUAUGUGGUACAUGGAGUAUAGUACCUCCUGCGGGCGAGCGGGAAACAGAGAGCUUCAGAUAAUUAAACUAGAAAUUAAGAAGAAAUGGAACGACAGGAAGAGAUCAAUCAAUUAAUUGACGACUCCUGAACUGAAGUUUGGAACGGUAAACAAAGAUUUUUGAGAUCUUCACUGCUUCGAAGCAAAAAAGUGGCCCCGUUUUGCUCUUCCUGGAUUCAUGUCUUUCUCGAAUCUCAAGUUGCUUCCCUUCAAAUGUUCCAAUGGAAGAAUCUGGGAAAGGAGCUGGGUGGUUCCUCAUCUCGAGUUUCUUGCUUUCUUGGUCUUUUGCUGGGUUUCGUCGUCAUCUUGUGAUCUCCAUCUCCAUCACCACAAACCCAACAUCAGGGUUGCCCCUCAGAGUUUGGUCCAGGGAGCCCUUUCGUCUUGUUUCGUGUGAACUGAAUGGAGAGAAGAGACGAGGGAUUCCUGAUGAAAAAUGAAAAGUGAUAGGAAGAAGAAGAAGAAGUGAAGGCAAAAAGUGUACCCUUUCAUCUAAUGAAAACGACUUUCAUUGAAGGAUCCAUCUGAUUGGUCAUGGACAAUGUAUUUCCACGGCCUUUUUUCCGGAACCGUUUCUUGGCCUCAAAGUGGAAAUGGAACUUGGACCGACAAAAGGGGGUCUUUCAAUGCAAUAUUUCAAUGAUAUGUCAAAUUCCUUCCUGAACUCCGUGGAACAUAAAACAUGUCCCAUGCCAAACACGACGUUCGGUCUCUCGGUAGAAAGUGGGCGGACGAAGGGAUGGCGAACUAGACUGAACCGUAGCCCAAUCAAGUGGUUCUUAUUGGUGCCUACGAAUUAGGCGAAGCUCAGCAUUCUUUUCCCCCAAAGACCAUUGACAGAAUGACUGGCAAGGUCACGCGUGUCUGAAAACUUCGAGAAGGAUCAGAGGGAAGAGCCAGUAUCAAUGUUGGAAAACAUCGUAAACCAGAGGAAAACAUAACACACAGUGGCCAAAGAACACUUGAACCUUUGCUUUGAAGAUUGUGAGGUGGACUUGAUCCAUUGGGAGCUGGAUGAUCCGUGGCACUCGUGGUAAAUCGAGGAGGCUUUGGGGGUUCGGUGCGAAAGCUUCAGGCAAGCAGAGAUUGGAGUAUCAAUCUCCUACUUAUUAAUAAUGUGGUGCACUUCAAAUGAGACUGCCUCCCUCCCCUCUCUGUGGUUGGAUCUGGAUGGAACCAUACUAAUGGAGGUUGUUCCACAUGAUCCCGUUUUCCACAGAUUCCGCCCUCUCUUCUCGAUCGACGGAACCUCUGCUGAAACUUACCGGGCAUCGCUCUCCACACGAAGCCUUCUUCGACCUUUCCAAGGCUGCAGAAGCGGUGUUAAUGUUGUGGUUCGUGGUACCGAGGUUAUGGUCCCCCCUGUAGAACCCCGUUCGUUCCAUAUCAAUGCGAAUACACACUGAAGGAGCGAAGCUGUUGGGAUGUCUAGGCUAGCUAGGCUAGCUAGCUCCUGAAGCGGUGAAUGGAACCAUUCUUAUGGGACAAUCUGUCUUGACUAUGGAGAUUUAUUGGAGUUUUUUCCUCCUCCUCGCCUCAUCCAGACCAACGAAGCCACUACAUCCACUUCCAUAGGCACUAAACAUACUACAUCGUCGGCUUUGUAAAGUUUCGACAGGCUAUCUACGAGCCAAUGAUCUGACAAAACCCCCAUAAAACGUGCAUGCAUCCUAUCCAAGCUUUCAUCAAAUGGAUUGAACCAAGUCUGUAGAACAAGAUCCA